GUUGGUGAGCUAUAUUGGAAUUACUUCUGAACAGCAAGGAUUACAACAAGCAGCGAUAUGGAGGGGCCUCAAGGAUUGUCAACUUUGCUCUAGACUAGCAGAGUAAGGCAUCAGUGGAGAUGAUGGUGAUGAUGACUUGCUAAAGCGCAAGACCUUUUGUGGUUUCUGGUACUAAGAUCUCUUGGAGUUGAAAAACCAACGACCAUCAAUAUGGAGGGACGGGUAAGUCAUUGGCUUAAGUUUCAGCUGAUUUGUGGUCGGGCUCUUGGAUUGCCACUAGAGCGGCCAAAGAGUGUAAACAUGGAGAGGUUGCUUGUCUAACAAGAGGAGCCAAGAAUCAGUAUACCUAAGACAUCUUCAGUGAUCCUAAUGGACCUUAUAAGACAUUCUGAAUUCUGAGUUACUGUACGUGGGCUCCCAUCAUCUGCUCCAUGGCAAAAUUUGAAGGAUCAUUUGCGGAGAGCUUGUGAUGUGUGCUUUGCUCAGGUCACUCGAGACAGGUUGUGGAAAGGAGAUGCUUUGAGGAAUGAAUGUCACGGAGAAGGAUUGAAGAAUGAAGAAGAAUACUCAUGUCUGCUUUAUCUCAGAGAGAUGGAUUGAAGAAUGAAGAAGAUCGCUUACGCAGACUGCUUAAGCUGAUAUGUGACCGGCCUCUUGGACUGCCACUAGAGCGGUCAAAGAGUGUAUAAACAUGGAGAGGUUGUAUGUCCCCCAAAAGGUGAAGCUUCGUGGGGAAUCAGCAGAGGAUUAUCUUGGCAGCUUCUCGUCCAAAGCCUGGGGGAUCACAGGUGGUGGUUAUGCAACUUUUGCUUUUUCAUGCUGGUCAAUCAGAAGUCAACUUCAACUUUCUGCUUCAUAGCAAGAUUUGAAGGAUCAUAUGCGGAGAGCUUAUGAUGUGUGCUUUGCUGAGGUCACUCGAGUCAGAUUCAGUUCUCCUCAUCCAUAAGUUAUGAUGCAAUCUUACACAACGAUGGUCAAAUCGUAUUCUAAAGAUUGGAUUGGGGUUUGUUUCUGGAGUCCAGAAAGACGACGACGAUAUCUAUGUUAUUGUUAAUCAUCUGGAGAGUAUUGGGUUUUAACAAGAAAAGCCAAGAAUCAGUCUACGUGGAAAGGUUUUGCACGCAGCUUUGAAGGUGCUACAAGUCAGAGAGAUUGAUUGAAAAAUGAAGAAGUCUUAAGCAGACUGCUUAAGUUACGUGGGCUCCCAUCACCUGCUUUUCACUAUGUUCUCUCUCGGUUCCUAAUUUUCAAAAUGCUAACUGUUACUAAGGUCUCAGUCUGAUUUUGGAAACCAAUGAUUUGUUUUAAGCUUGCUUAUGGAGCGACGUGGUUCUGGAGAAAGGUACAUUUGAUCAUGACAACAUGAUGACAAAUCUGAUUUUGGAAACCAAUGAUUUGUUUUAAGCUUGCUUAUGGAGCGACGUGGUUCUGGGGAAAGGUACAUCUGAUCAUUACAACAUGAUGACAAAGUCUCCAUCUCAUUUUGGAAACCAGUUAUUUGUUUUAAGGUGCAGAGCAUACUUCAGAUCUUUGAUUUGAAACUUUAUCUUAAGAAGGUUAAAAUAUGGCUUGGAGACGAGGCAGGAGAUCACUACUACUAUGUUCUCUCUCGGUUCCAAGUUUGGAGAAUGCUAACUGUUACUAAGAUCCCAAAUCCUGAGGGGCUAUAAAGAUUUCUUUUAAGCUCUAGAAGCUUCUUAUCGACAGCAGUCUUCCUGAUAUGUCUCCGUCUCAUUUUGGAAACCAAUUAUUCGUGACAACAAGGGAAGUCUGGUGCCAAAGAAGUCUACUUUCUCUUCUGGUACUAAAGCGUCUGCAUCUCAUAAACUGGUCACUGACCUGAUUUUCAAAUACCUUUGCAGAAUGGUGAGUUGAAGUAACAAUACUUGGGAUCAAAUUUCAGGGAAUUGAUUACUUGAAGUAUGACAACUGCAACUCGCUCUUCUGUCCCCAAUUCUUAAUUCCUUUUGUCUCAAUCUGAUUUUGGCAAACAAUUUUUUGUUUAAGGCCUCAGUCUGAUUCUGGAAACAAAUUAUUUGUUUAAGUUUGCAGCUUGGUUUUGGACCGACGUAGUUAUGGCCUUAUUGGGGAGAGUACAUUAUUAAAUCAUUACAACUGUUGUUGCAGUUGUUGCUGUUUAAGUAAAAUGUCUUUGGUGGACCAGAAAGUGAUGGAAGUGGUACAAUUGUUGAUGCAGUUUCACGUCCUGGAUGAGACAUUUCAGAUCCUGUGAUUUCUGCAACCCUUAGUAUUGUGCAGGUCUUCUGGGGUUUGGACAAAAAGCUUUCCCAGAGAAAACAUUUGCCCUCUGUUAAUUAGUUGAUUUCCUACUCAAAAGUAUUCAACGGCAUUGGGAUCUUUCUAUGAGAAGUUCGGACCAGACAUCAUCAACAUCAUGAGGACAAAGGCCAGAGAGGGUGUUGCAGAGGGAAGAGGGAAGAGGAACUUAAUGAAAUUGUCCAGGCUAAAGGAAUUUGCUCUUUCACACCGUAAGAAGAUUCCUACAUCUUGCUCUUCCGCUUUUGGUGAACCCUAUACGACCAAGAAAAGGUUAAUCUCUAACAGCAGAAGAUCAACGAUGGCUAAGAUUUAUUCUUACAUUACAGAGUAUUUUGGUAUGUUAUGGGGUGAUAGCAUUGGGAUCAGCUCUAAAGCACAUAGUUAAUAUAUAUCCAGAAUAACACUUUAGCC